AGAAACUUAGGAUAAUCUUUAAACCGAGGGCCUUCAAAGCCCUAAACAAGAGUUAAACCCUCUUAGUUUCUG
rnacentral:tRNA from 1 species